UAAUACGUAGGGUGCGAGCGUUAUCCGGAAUUAUUGGGCGUAAAGAGCUCGUAGGCGGUUUGUCGCGUCUGUCGUGAAAGUCCGGGGCUUAACCCCGGAUCUGCGGUGGGUACGGGCAGACUAGAGCGCAGUAGGGGAGACUGGAAUUCCUGGUGUAGCGGUGGAAUGCGCAGAUAUCAGGAGGAACACCGAUGGCGAAGGCAGGUCUCUGGGCUGUAACUGACGCUGAGGAGCGAAAGCAUGGGGAGCGAACAGGAUUAGAUACCCUGGUAGUCCAUGCCGUAAACGUUGGGCACUAGGUGUGGGGACCAUUCCACGGUUUCCGCGCCGCAGCUAACGCAUUAAGUGCCCCGCCUGGGGAGUACGGCCGCAAGGCUA
rnacentral:rRNA from 1 species